GUGGCAAGCGUUGUUCGGAUUUACUGGGCGUAAAGCGUGCGUAGGUGGUGUCGUAUGUCGGAUGUGAAAUCCCAUGGCUCAACUGUGGAACUGCAUUCGAAACUGCGGUACUAGAGUACAGGAGGGGAGAGCGGAAUUCUUGGUGUAGCGGUGAAAUGCGUUGAUAUCAAGAAGAACACCGGUGGCGAAGGCGGCUCUCUGGAAUGUUACUGACACUGAGGCACGAAAGCUGGGGGAGCGAACAGGAUUAGAUACCCUGGUAGUCCCAGCCGUAAACGGUGCGCACUUGGUGUAGGGGGUAUUGACCCCCCCUGUGCCGGAGCUAACGCGUUAAGUGCGCCGCCUGGGGAGUACGGCCGCAAGACUAAAACUCAAAGAAAUUGACGGGGGCCCGCACAAGCGGAGGAGCAUGUGGCUUAAUUCGAUGCAACGCGAAGAACCUUACCAGGGCUUGACAUGCAGCUGCUCAUCCCGUGAAAGCGGGACUCUUUCGAAGGUGCUGCACAGGUGCUGCAUGGCUGUCGUCAGUUCGUGCCGUGAGGUGUUGGGUUAAGUCCCGCAACGAACGCAACCCCUGUGGUUAGUUGCCACCGCCGGUGAUGAGCCGGCGAGCACUCUAGCCAGACUGCCCGUACAAGCGGGAGGAAGGUGGGGACGACGUCAAGUCAGUAUGGCCCUUACGCCCUGGGCUGCACACGUGCUACAAUGGUAGGUAUAGAGGGAUGCAAGACCGCGAGGUGGAGCAAAUCCCCAAAACCUGCCCCAGUUCGGAUUGGAGUCUGCAACUCGACUCCAUGAAGCCGGAUUCGCUAGUAACGGCGUAUCAGCUACGACGCCGUGAAUACGUUCCCGGGCCUUGUACACACCGCCCGUCACAUCAUGAAAGCCGUCUGCACCCGAAGUCGCUGAGCCAACCCGUCAAGGGAGGCAGGUGCCGAAGGUGUGGGUGGUGAUUGGGAUGAAGUCGUAACAAGGUAACCGUA
rnacentral:rRNA from 1 species